rnacentral:sRNA from 1 species
ACUUAGCCCUGAUGGGAAUGGAAAUCCUUUAUUUUUCUGGUUGUUCCAGAAAAAUAAAGAUUGAAAUGCACAGCAGGAUAGAUA